AGCAGCCGCGGUAAUUCCAGCUCCAAUAGCGUAUAUUAAAGUUGUUGCAGUUAAAAAGCUCGUAGUUGAAUUUCGGGGUUAGUAGGUUGGUCAUGCCUCUGGUAUGUACUGGUCUCACUGAUUCCUCCUUCCUUAUGAACCGUAAUGCCAUUAAUUUGGUGUUGCGGGGAAUUUGGACUGUUACUUUGAAAAAAUUAGAGUGUUUAAAGCAAGCUAACGCUUGAAUACAUUAGCAUGGAAUAAUGAAAUAGGACGUUCGAUCUUAUUUUGUUGGUUUCUAGGAUUGACGUAAUGAUUAAUAGGGAUAGUUGGGGGCAUUAGUAUUCAAUUGUCAGAGGUGAAAUUCUUGGAUUUAUUGAAGACUAACUACUGCGAAAGCAUUUGCCAAGGAUGUUUUCAUUAAUCAAGAACGAAAGUUAGGGGAUCGAAGACGAUCAGAUACCGUCGUAGUCUUAACCAUAAACUAUGCCGACUAGGGAUCGGAUGAUGUUAAUUUUUUUAAUGACUCAUUCGGCGCCUU
rnacentral:rRNA from 1 species